rnacentral:misc_RNA from 1 species
UGUGGGAGGGGGCUUGCUCCCGAUAGCUAUGGUUCAGUCUAAACAUUUAGUGACUGACACCCUGCUAUCGGGAGCAAGCCCCCUCCCACA